UUAAAUGAAAAAGUCAGAGCAAUAUCAGCUGCAAUAGAGGUCACUGAGUACAGUCAUCACAACUUCCUUUCUUUUAUGUGGAAUCUGAAUGCCCUGUUUUAUAUUGAGCAUUCAUUAUUUGCAACAAAGGAAAGAAGAGCAGACUGAGUCAAGCAGAGCAUACAUUUGCCAAGUAUGAGAUUUUAUGGCAUCUCGUAGACAUGACAUUCUCAUUCCUAAUCUCUUCAUCAGUACCAGAAGGCACUAUAUCAUCAACAGCCGAGGGCUGUGUGGGGAAGAGGGCUUGCAAAUGCCUCCCACAGAAAUCCUGCUUUCUCACUUAAGAGCUAAAAGGCAAAAGCCAAGAAGACUGCAUUUAAAAUUGAUGAAGGACCAAGGCUUGCUAACACACAUUACAGAAUUCUCUGUAUGUCCAUCACAUGAUAAUGCACCUCAAAGGUAAGUGUUUAUAAUUGUUUGUGUUUUAGACUUUUAUGAGAGGAAAAGGAAAUAACAUCUGAUUACAAAACAUCUCAUAAAACUGGUAUUUUCAUAAAACGUUUGAUAUUUCAGCAAAAUAUCUCUGAAACAAUCUGGC
rnacentral:lncRNA from 1 species